ACAUCUUUUUAGCCAAUUUAUUAAUUUAUUAUCUCUCUCUUGCGCACUCUCGCGUGUGGCUGUGUGCAUUCGCGUCUCUCUCUCUCUCUCUCUCUCUCUCUCUCUCUCUCUAUCUCUCUCUCUCUCUCUCUCUCUCUCUCUCUCUCUCUCUCUCUCUCUGUGUGUGCGCGUAGUUGUGUAGUCUCUCUCUUUCAGUGCGCGAGGAAGCGCCAGAGAGUCGCGGGCGGAGCGGAAGGGACUCUGCGGGAUUUGAGCGCUGAUCUCCGGCAGCAGAUCUCUCUGUGAUCGCGCUUCUGCUGCUGGAAACACCGGAGCACCGGUCACCACUCACCGGGAGUUACGGGAGAGAAGCGCGGGAUGGUGGACAACAACAAAACACAGAUGGAGGGUCUUUCUUCGGGCCUGAAGCUGGAGGCGAUGUUGGAGCAUCUCCAUCAGCAGCAGCAGGAGCGUCUGCACAGUGAGCAGCAGCAGCGGCGGCUCCGCGAGGCUCACUUCUUCUACACGCAGCAGCUUGCGGCUCAGCAGGCCAUACUAGCGGCCGCCCGCGCCUCUGGAGCCGCACUCAUCAACACACAUGCCUCACUGCUCUCCAGCAGCAGUGUGGACUCUGAGCGUGAGGAUGAGGAGGAGCGGGGCCGAGACUCCGCCGAGGAUGAAGAUGAAGAUGAUGAAGACAGUGAGGAAGACGAGCUCGACUUCCUUCGUAAGCAGAGUUUGGCGCUCCAGCAGAGAGAUACAGCUGUUUCUGGCAGCCGGUCAGGCCCCGGGGCCCCUGGAGCUACAGUCAGGGUUAAAGAGGAGCCCGAGGAGGAGCCGAGCCCUGCUGACCGGCCCUCAGAUACAUCUCCAAAUGGCCCUGCGGACUGGAGCUAUGAGGAGCCAUUUAAAGCGGUAAGAGUGCUGGAUUAUUCUUAUGUACAGAGAUACUUUAAUGAAUGCUGAAAAGUAUCUUAUUUUGUGUUCAAAAGAGAAUUUAAAGAAGUAAGAGUGCUGGGUUAUUCUCAUUUACAGGGCGAGUUUUCAGCAUUCUUCAAAGUAUCUUAUUUUGUGUUCUAAACUGAAUUUAAAGUGGUAAGAUCGCUGGGUUAUUCUCAUUUACAGGGCGAGUUUUCAGCAUUCUUCAAAGUAUCUUAUUUUGUGUUGAACUGAAUUUAAAGUGGUAAGAUCGCCGGGUUAUUUUGAUUUACAGGGCGAGUUUUCAGUAUUCUUCAAAGUAUCUUAUUUUGUGUUGAACUGAAUUUAAAGUGGUAGGAUCGCUGGGUUAUUUUGAUUUACAGGGCGAGUUUUCAGCAUUCUUCAAAGUAUCUUAUUUUGUGUCCAAAAGAGAAUUUAAAGUGGUAAGAUCGCUGGGUUAUUCUUAUUAACAGGGCGAGUUUUCAGCAUUCUUCAAAGUAUCUUAUUUUGUGUUCUAAACUGAAUUUAAAGUGGUAAGAUCGCUGGGUUAUUCUUAUUUACAGGGCGAGUUUUCAGCAUUCUUCAAAGUAUCUUAUUUUGUUUUCUAAACUGAAUUUAAAGUGGUAAGAUCGCUGGGUUAUUCUUAUUUACAGGGCGAGUUUUCAGCAUUCUUCAAAGUAUCUUAUUUUGUUUUCUAAACUGAAUUUAAAGUGGUAAGAUCGCUGGGUUAUUCUUAUUUACAGGGCGAGUUUUCAGCAUUCUUCAAAGUAUCUUAUUUUGUUUUCUAAACUGAAUUUAAAGUGGUAAGAUCGCUGGGUUAUUCUUAUUUACAGGGCGAGUUUUCAGCAUUCUUCAAAGUAUCUUAUUUUGUGUUCUAAACAGAAUUUAAAGCAGUAAGAGUGCUGGGUUAUUCUUAUUUUCAGGGAGAGUUCACUCUAAAAUGAACGUGGAUAUGGUUAUAUAUAUACUUUCUUCUGUUGAACAUUAAGAUAUAAAAUGCUGAAAACCUGUAACCAUUGACUUUCAUAGUAUUUGUUUUUCCUACUAUGGAAGUCAAUGGUUACUGGUUUUCAGCCUUUUGUAUCUGCUUUAAUGUUCAGCAGAAGAAAAGAAACUUCAAGUUAAAAAGUUAAAACUAAGACAAGUAAAAGGAGAGCAAAUUAUGACAGAAUCUUCAGUUUUAGGCUGAACUUUAUCUCACUGGGGUUAUUAUCAUUUAAAGCAGGGGUGUCCAAACUCUGUCCUGGAGGGCCGGUGUCCUGAAGAGUUACGCGCCGACACUAAUCACACCUGAACUGGCUGAUCAAGCUCAUACUAGUUAUUCCUAAAAACUUCCUGGCAGGUGUGUUAAAGCAAGUUGGAACUAAAGUCAGCAGUCACCGGCCCUCCAGGACCGAGUGUGGACAGCCCUGUUUUAAAGGGAUGGUUCAUUCCAAAAUGAACAUUUCUGCACUAUUUACUCUCCCUUAUAUAUAAUCUCUUUCUUCUGUUAAACAUUAAAGAAGAUAUUUUGAAGAAAGCUGAAAAGAUAUUUUGAGAAAUGCUGAAAACUGGUAACCAUUGACUUCCAUAUAGUAUGAAAAACCAGUUACCAGUUUUCAGCUUUCUUCCUGUAUCUUUCAAUAGGAAAAGGUUUUUUUUUAUAAGUAUGAGCUCUCUUAAAGGGCCAGUUCACCUCAAAAUUACAAUUUACUCACUAUUUACCGUCUCUCGAGUGGUUAUAUUUACUUUUUGAAAAAGUGAAAGCUGAUAACCUGUAACCAUUGCCUUGGCUGGAAAAGCAAAUAUUAUAGAACUCAAUGGUUACCGGUUUUCAGCAUUCUUCAGAAUAUCUUCUUUAGUGUUUAACAGACAAAAGAAACUCAUAAAGGUUUAAAACAAGCAAAGGGAGAGUAAUUGAUGACAGAGGUCAGUUAUGAGCUGAACUUUGGUUCUCAAUUUACUGUAUGAGUAUCUAAACACAUUUUAAAGUCGCUGUGCUCUUACAUGAGAAGUUCAUUCAUUCAUUUUCCUUUGGCUUGGUCACUUGUUUAUCAGGAGUCACCACGGCAAAAUGAACCACCAACUAUUCCAGCAAAUGUUUUACGCAGCGGAUGUCUUUUCAGCAAAAAUCCAGUGCUGGGAAACACCCAUACACACUCAUUCACACUCAUUCACUACGGCAAGUUUAGUUGAUCAGUUCCCCUAUAGCGCAUGUGUCUGGACUGUGGGGGAAACCAGAGCACCUGGAGGAAACCCACGGCAACACCAGGAGAACAUGCACUUGACUUCAUUUAACGCAAUUAACUUCUCAUAUAUUUAGACGGUGGCUCAGUGGUUAGCACUGUGGCCUCACAGCAAGAAGGGUGCUGGUUCAAGCCCCGGCUCGGUCAGUUGGCAUUUCUGUGUGGAGUUUGCAUGUUCUCUCCAUUAGCGUGGGUUUUGGAAGGGCAUGCACUGCGUAAAACCAACCCAGUCUCAUUCUGAAAACGUUGUCCAGUGGACGUUUCUGGAGCCCGCGUAAUACGUCCCGGUAGGUAGGUAUUUGUGCAGUUCUUGUUCUUGCGAAUCGGCGAGAGGCCGCUGUGUACGCUUUUUCGUAUCUCGAACGUCUCUCGUGAGUGCCGUUCGCGCCCGCGCUGUUCUUGCAUCAACCCACCAGAGGCCGCUGUCUGACUGACCGAAUGAUUGACUGCGUGAUAGGCCAAUCGGCUGACCCACCCUCCUCCUUCCCUAAACCCAACCAGUUUUACCGAUUGACCCACCCGCUUGCUUACUUCCCUAAACCCGAGCAACAAUUUAGAAAAGCCGUCUAGAAAAAGACUGAUUUUUACCACGUUUUACCACGUUUUUUACAUUAUUUUACCACGUUCUCACGCUGUUAUGAACUCGUUCGCUUUAUUUUUUGGAUUCUGUUUUUGUCUGACCUGCUUUCUGGAACCGCUCUCCGGCCUCGAACCCGCUCGCCGUGGUCAACUCCUCCUCUCUGCAUCUGAAGUCUGUCGACGCACACGAUGAGCUGACUGGACAAACUGAUUGCGGCGGGAAAGCCCUCCACACGGAGGUAAGCGGUCAGCCGGUAAGCGUGAAAGGGAACGGUGUCACACCGCCCCGUAGCGUUCGCUUAAACAAAUGAAAUGCAGCCAUACAUACCUCCCGGGACGUAUUUCGCGCUCUCCAGAAACGUCCACGGGACUACGUUUUCAGAAUGAGCCUGGGUUGCGUAAAACAUAUGCUGGAUAAGUUGGCGGUUCAUUCCGCUGUGGCGACCCCUAGUAAAUAAGAGACUAAGCUGAAGGAAAAUUAAUGAAUUGGAAGCCAAAGAAGAUCAGGUGUGAAGUGUUUUUGUGAUGUAAUAUUUGUACCAAAAUUCUUAAAACGUACCUGCAAUUCUGAACUGGUCAAGUGAGUGUGUGUGUGAGUGUGUGAGCGCACGUGUGUGUGUGUGCAUAUGUGUGUGAGAGCUCUGCUGGCCCUCAGGAGAAACAUCUGCUCUGCUUGCUGUCAUCCUGCUCUUAGUGUGUGUGUGUGUGUGUGUGUGUGUGUGUGUGUGUGUGUGUGUGUGUGUGUGUGUGUGUGUGUGUGUUUGUGUGUGUGUGUUUGUGUGUGUGUGUUUGUGUGUGUGUGUGUGUGUGUGUGUGUGUGUGUUCUGGCACUUCGCUGUACUCAGUUGUUCUCCUGAGCUCCUGCCAAACACUGAGUCAACUUUGGCCGGCGUCCAGACCGAGUAAAGAGACAUUUGGCCUGAUUUUGUCAGUUCACACGUGGGAGUGUUUGUGCACGUGUGCGGUGGGUGUGUGUGUGUGUACAGUAGCUACAGUGAUGAUCUCUUUAUAUAUGCAUACACUGAUUAUUGUGAAAUCAUAAGCUACUUCUGCGAUGCAUUUGGAUGUUGUCUUGUGCGGUGUGAACUCAGUUGUGUUUGCUGCUGUAGUGUGAAGUGAAACAGAAUAUGUGUACACUUCGCAUUCAUGCAUUGAGCAGGAUGUGGAUCUUUCUGAUUAUCAUCAGCAGUGUUGGAAACAAUGUCUUUUCUGUAAUGCAGUGAAGUGGAAAGUAAAGUUUACAUUUAUUUAUCUACGGCUGCACAAUUCUAGGAAAAUGUGCAAUAUGGGAUAUGAAGAGUUCAGAUGCAAAACCCUGUAAACCCAUCACACCUCUUCUCCUGUAAAUGAGCA
ensembl:lincRNA